AAAUUGGAAUGAACAUCAUGGAUUUUGUUUCAGGACCACAACUUCAGCUGAAAUAAUACUUUAUCUUGCCAAAGCACAUUUGCUUGUGCAGUGCACCUGCUUCAUCAGCGAUGUCAGCACAGCUCUGAAAUCGUGAUUUCCAGAUAAAUGCUGCUGCAGAACCAGUAGCGGGACCAGAAAAUAUAGGGCCAAGUGCGCCUCUCAUGUUAGAAAACCAUAGAAACCACAAUUUUUCAGCUCCAUGACCGUGGAAGAAGUAUGGGUGGAUCCCUGGGCCUCCAGUGUGCUCCAUGAAGGCACAGGAUUCUGUACAGAAUUUCUUGCAGGAUAAGUGCCUAAGUCUUGAUAUUCAAACUUCACAUCAGUGCUUUGUACCUAGCAUGUUGUUUCCAAUGGAGGGGCAGUUCUGUACAGUGAUGAAUUUCUGGCCAGCUCUUCAAAUCCUUUCUGUUAGUACAUGGUGAUACAAGACGCAGCACCAAGCGACUGAAGCACUGAUCAAAGGGGAGAGCCUGGCUGAAGCACAAUCCGCCACCCUGUGAUGAGAAGCAUCUAAGUUUGUAAGGGCACUGAAAGUGUUAAGAUCAGCUUAGAAUGUGUUUUGCUUUUAUUUCAUUUGACCAAAUCUGACUUGUUAUGCUUUGA